GAGAUCAAACAAAUGUAUCACCGGAGUGCACAGACCCGGUCCGGCCCGAAGGCCCGGCCCGGUCCCAAACACUUUUGGGGCUAAUUUGGUGUGAUUUUAUCGGGUUUAGGGUCGGGUAAGGGUCUCAAAAAUAGACCCGGUCAUUAUUUUGGGUCGGGUCCGG